rnacentral:rRNA from 1 species
GUGGGGAAUCUUGCACAAUGGGGGCAACCCUGAUGCAGCGACGCCGCGUGAGCGAUGAAGUCCUUCGGGGCGUAAAGCUCUUUCGGCAGGAACGAUUAUGACGGUACCUGAAGAAGAAGCUGCGGCUAACUACGUGCCAGCAGCCGCGGUAAUACGUAGGCAGCAAGCGUUGUUCGGAGUUACUGGGCGUAAAGAGUGUGUAGGCGGUCCCUUAAGUUCGGUGUGAAAUCUCCCGGCUCAACUGGGAGGGUGCGCCGGAAACUGGGGGGCUGGAGUGCGGGAGAGGAAAGCGGAAUUCCUGGUGUAGCGGUGAAAUGCGUAGAUAUCAGGAGGAACACCUGCGGUGUAGACGGCUUUCUGGACCGCAACUGACGCUGAGACACGAAAGCGUGGGGAGCAAACAGGAUUAGAAACCCGUGUAGUCC